AGUCUUGCGUGGUCAUCCUCCUGAAUCUUAUAUUCAACGAUUGGAAGUCUUCAGAUUUGCUCUGAGUAGUCGUAUGAAGGUUUAGUAGCCUAUGCAGCUUCCUUCACUGUUGUUUACCCUUGACCCCUCCACAGGAAGGAUGGUUUCUUGACCUUUCAGACCAGCAAGUAUAAACUGCACUACUAUGAGACAGCUACUGGCAUCAAGAUCAUAAUGAACACAGACCUGGGAGUUCCCAACGCUAAAGAUAUACUGCACCAGAUAUACAGCACGCUGUAUGUAGAGUACAUAGUGAAGAAUCCUUUGUGUGUUCUGGGGGAGCAGCUGUCCUCUGACCUCUUCUCUACUAGACUGGACCUCUACAUCCGAGCCCUGCCCUUCUUCAGCCCCCGCGCUGCAUAACACACACACACACAGUGAGGAGACAAACAUGUACGCAUCGCACACACACACACACACACACACACACACACACACACACACACACACACACACACACACACACACACACACACACACACACAGAGGAGACAAACAUGCACGCAUCGCACACACACACUGCACGCAAACCAAACGCGCACACAUUUGGGGGUGUGGUUGUCUGGGGUUGUGAGGGGUGUAAUCAUGUAUUUAUUUGUUAGUAACAGAAUGUUGGUUGUUGCCUCGUGUAUUAAAUAGAACCAUCUCAGUAAACCUGAACAA